UACGUAGGGUGCGAGCGUUAAUCGGAAUUACUGGGCGUAAAGCGUGCGCAGGCGGUUCGUUGUGUCCGUCGUGAAAGCCCCGGGCUUAACCUGGGAACUGCGAUGGAAACUAGCGAGCUGGAGUGUGGCAGAGGGGGGGUGGAAUUCCGCGUGUAGCAGUGAAAUGCGUAGAGAUGCGGAGGAACACCGAUGGCGAAGGCAGCCCCCCUGGGCUAACACUGACGCUCAGGCACGAAAGCGUGGGGAGCAAACAGG
rnacentral:rRNA from 1 species